rnacentral:rRNA from 1 species
GACGAACGCUGGCGGCGUGCUUAACACAUGCAAGUCGAACGAAGUGGCGAACGGGUGAGUAAUACGUGGGUAACCUGCCCUCCUUUUUUGGAUAAGCCUUGGAAACGGGGUCUAAUACCGAAUAAAGGGGGAUGGGCUCGCGGCCUAUCUGCUUGUUGGUGGGGUGAUGGCCUACCAAGGCGGUGACGGGUAGCCGGCCUGAGAGGGUGACCGGCGACAUAGGGACGGAGAUACGGCCCAGGCUACGACGCGAGGCAGAAGUUGGGGCUAUGGCACAAUGGGCGAAAGCCUGAUGCAGCGACGCCGCGUGGGGGAUGAAGGCUUUCGGGUUGUAAACCUCUUGCGCUAGCUAAUGGUUAGGUGGAGAAGAAGCGCCGGCUAACUACGUGCCAGCAGCCGCGGUAAUAC